rnacentral:rRNA from 1 species
AUUGAACGCUGGCGGCAGGCCUAACACAUGCAAGUCGAACGGUAACAGGAAGAAGCUUGCUUCUUUGCUGACGAGUGGCGGACGGGUGAGUAAUGUCUGGGAAACUGCCUGAUGGAGGGGGAUAACUACUGGAAACGGUAGCUAAUACCGCAUAACGUCGCAAGACCAAAGAGGGGGGACCUUCGGGCCUCUUGCCAUCGGAUGUGCCCAGAUGGGAUUAGCUAGUAGGUGGGGUAACGGCUCACCUAGGCAACGAUCCCUAGCUGGUCUGAGAGGAUGACCAGCCACACUGGAACUGAGACACGGUCCAGACUCCUACGGGAGGCAGCAGUGGGGAAUAUUGCACAAUGGGCGCAAGCCUGAUGCAGCCAUGCCGCGUGUAUGAAGAAGGCCUUCGGUUGUAAAGUACUUUCUAGCGGGAGGAAGGGAGUAAAGUUAAUACCUUUGCUCAUUGACGUUACCCGCAGAAGAA